GGAAGUACGUAUUUCCGCUAUGAUGACACACGUUGCAGUGAAACACAUAAUUGGUCAUGAAUGGAAGGCAGGUUCUGUGUGGAAGAGAACAAAUUCUCCUUUAACAACAGAUGCGGCGCCCGCCUCUGCCUCGGAAGCCAUGUUUGAAAACUAAAUCACGGGAUUAAAAGAAAUCUCGCGAGAACAGCGUCUUCUUCUCUGUUCACUGGGCACUUAGAUUUGAUACGUCCUGCCACCUAUAGGUUGCAAUGGAUCCUAAAUCUUAUUGGUACACUCUCUGGCCAAAAGUACUUUAUGAGGACACCUGCCCAUAAAUCCCCAAACUGCUGAAAACAUAAAAUCGUAUAGACAGCCUUUGUAUACUGUAGCAUUAAGAUUUCUCCUCAAUGGACCAAGAGACAUAUUCAAAAUAGCUGUGCAAAGGAGCAAUGACUUCAAGCCAGGCAGACAGCACGCCAAGCUUCUACCUUAACCUCAGUGCCCGACAAAGAAGGAGAAAAAAACCCUUCAGCCACACUUUAAGAUGGAAAGGGAGAAUAAACUCUAUGCUACUGAGAUUUGAUUUUAAAUGGGAUAUGCAAUAAACACAAAUAUAAGUCA